rnacentral:lncRNA from 13 species
AUGAAGGGAGAUGUCUAUCUUGUUUUUUUUGUUUUUUUUUUCAGACAGAGUCUCGCUUUGCCAUCCAGGCUGCAGUGCAGUGGCUCUAUCUCAGUCACCAGGAGAGCUGGGAUUAUAGGUGCCAGGCUGGAGUGCAAUAGUGUGAUCUCAGCUCACUGCAACCUCUGCCUCCCAGAUUCAAGCAAUUCUCCUGCCUCAGCCUCCUGAGUAGCUGGGACUACACGUGUGCACCACCAUACCCAGGUAAUUUUUGUAUUUUAGUAGAGACAGGGUUUCACCAUGUUGGCCAGGAUGGUCUCAGUCUCCUGACCUCGUGAUCCCCCCGCCUCAAUCUCCCAAAGUGCUGGGAUUGCAGGAGUGAGCCACCGCACCUGGGCUUCUUCUGAAAUUUAAUCCAUCUCCUCUAUUAUCUUUCUUGGAUUUUAGAAAAAAAUUUCAUUUCUGCAGAAUUGUCCUGCUGUUGGCUGCCUAACUAUAGGUUAAGACCUGACAAGCUAAAGAACUUCUUGGAAGUAGUUCCUCAGAACACACCAAGUAAAGCACAUACUAAUCUGGGUAAGAUUUAAUCAGCUUGCUAGACAUAUUCA